GUGAAGAGCAACAGUCCCUUCUUUCUGAAUGACUGAAGAUUUAAGAGCUCUGCAUGCCCUGAACUACACUGUCCUGCGGAGGCAUUUGUUUGGGAACUGCGGCCUUGUGUGGCUCAAGCUCCAGCCGAGGAACAGAUGGUGCAGCGAGAGGGUCUUGCAGCAACUAGACCAAGAAGAAGGACACGCAGAUGCCAUUUGCUAUCAUGAGGUCUGUUUCUGCCAGCAGAAGAGUGGAGCUUCACGCCGUGACUGACAAGAUGCCUUGGCCAGCAAAGCUUUUCUCAUAUUAGAAAGAUUGGAGAGAAUUGUUUCUAUGGAAGUGGUGAACAUGGGACAGAAGUACUUCUCUCUUGAUAAGACCAGCAUGUGCAAACCAGGAAGAAAAAGUAAAAUCUCCAAUAAUAGAGAGAUAAAUCAAACAGGAAAAAAAAAAGUCUGGGUCCGAAAAACACGUGCAUUCCUGUAGCAGAGUUUAUGCGAGUUUUUUUUUCUUUUUUUCUUUUUUGUGAUGAGGUCACUAUUACUCACAUGGCUGUGUGGGAUAGACAGAGAACAUGCAUAAAUAACAAGAAAGCAAGCAUUCUAAUUUGCGCACCUUGUUUUUUUAAGAGUAUAAUCAUUGGCUGGAAUUAAUAGGAGCAGCUCUGAAUGAAUAACUUACUCAGCAUGUAAGUGAAAUAACUGAGAUUAGAAUCCUGAAUUGUUACCUUGGGCCUGGAGCAUUUACCUCCUUCUCUACCUGCUUAU